rnacentral:rRNA from 1 species
GAUGAACGCCGGCGGUGUGCCUAAUACAUGCAAGUUGUACGCACUGGCCCAACUGAUUGAUGGUGCUUGCACCUGAUUGACGAUGGAUCACCAGUGAGUGGCAGACGGGUGAGUAACACGUAGGUAACCUGCCCCGGAGCGGGGGAUAACAUUUGGAAACAGAUGCUAAUACCGCAUAACAACAAAAGCCACAUGGCUUUUGUUUGAAAGAUGGCUUUGGCUAUCACUCUGGGAUGGACCUGCGGUGCAUUAGCUAGUUGGUAAGGUAACGGCUUACCAAGGCGAUGAUGCAUAGCCGAGUUGAGAGACUGAUCGGCCACAAUGGAACUGAGACACGGUCCAUACUCCUACGGGAGGCAGCAGUAGGGAAUUUUCCACAAUGGGCGCAAGCCUGAUGGAGCAACACCGCGUGAGUGAAGAAGGGUUUCGGCUCGUAAAGCUCUGUUGUUGGAGAAGAACGUGCGUGAGAGUAACUGUUCACGCAGUGACGGUAUCCAACCAGAAA